rnacentral:tRNA from 1 species
GCCUGGGUGGCGGAAUGGCAGACGCAACGGACUUAAAAUCCGUUUGCUGAAAGGCAGUGCGGGUUCGACUCCCGCCCCAGGCA